AGAAUCAACGCUGGCGGCGUGCCUAACACAUGCAAGUCGAACGAGAAAGUGGGAGCAAUCCCAUUAGUAAAGUGGCGCACGGGUGAGUAACACGUGACUAACCUACCCUUGAGUGGGGGAUAACCUAGGGAAACCUGGGCUAAUACCGCAUAAUACCUACGGGUCAAAGGAGCAAUUCGCUUUAGGAGGGGGUCGCGGCAGAUUAGUUAGUUGGCGGGGUAAUGGCCCACCAAGACAGUGAUCUGUAUCCGGCCUGAGAGGGCGCACGGACACACUGGAACUGAAACACGGUCCAGACUCCUACGGGAGGCAGCAGUGGGGAAUUUGCGCAAUGGGGGAAACCCUGACGCAGCAACGCCGCGUGGAGGAUGAAGCCCCGUUGGGGCGUAAACUCCUUUCGAUCGGGAAGAUAAUGACGGUACCGGAAGAAGAAGCCCGGCUAACUUCGUGCCAGCAGCCGC
rnacentral:rRNA from 1 species